rnacentral:rRNA from 1 species
CCUACGGGUGGCAGCAGUGGGGGAUAUUGCACAAUGGGGGAAACCCUGAUGCAGCGACGCCGCGUGGGUGAAGAAGUAUUUCGGUAUGUAAAGCCCUAUCAGCAGGGAAGAAAGAAGACGGUACCUGACUAGGAAGCCCCGGCUAACUACGUGCCAGCAGCCGCGGUAAUACGUAGGGGGCGAGCGUUAUCCGGAUUCACUGGGGGUAAAGGGAGCGUAGACGGCCGUGCAAGCCAGGAGUGAAAGCCCGGGGCCCAACCCCGGGACUGCUCUUGGAACUGUGCGGCUGGAGUGCGGGAGGGGCAGGCGGAAUUCCUGGUGUAGCGGUGAAAUGCGUAGAUAUCAGGAGGAACACCGGCGGCGAAGGCGGCCUGCUGGACCGCGACUGACGUUGAGGCUCGAAAGCGUGGGGAGCGAACAGGAUUAGAUACCCGGGUAGUC